GACAGAGGUGCCGAGCGUUAGGCGGAAUCACUGGGCUUAAAGCGUGUGUAGGCGGGCCGUUAAGUGCCUUGUGAAAUCCCCCCGGCUCAACCCGGGGAACUGCUGGGCAUACUGGCGGCCUUGAGUCACUCAGGGGUCAGCGGAACAAACGGUGGAGCGGUGAAAUGCGUAGAUAUCGUUUGGAACGCCGACGGCGAAAGCAGCUGACUGGGAGUGAUCUGACGCUGAGACACGAAAGCCAGGG
rnacentral:rRNA from 1 species